CCAGCAGUCCCUGUCCCCAGCACCCAGCUCAGGCUCUAAUCCUGCCUCUCUCUUUGCCUCACCCAGGGGUGCUGCUACAGGGAACAGGGGUGCAAACCAGGCCACCUCCCCUUCCCCAGCACUGGCAGCCAGCCCAGCUCCUGGGGGUCCAUCAGAGGGUACCAGACGGACAGCAAAGAGGAACCAGAGAUUUAUGGAGCGAUCAUCCCCCAUGGUGUUCGAGGUCCUCCCGGCCCCCCCGGGCCCCCAGGCCCCCCUGGCCCACCAGGUCUCCUCUACCUCAACGUAAGGCCCAGCGCGGGUGUGCACACUCCUGUG
rnacentral:lncRNA from 1 species